rnacentral:lncRNA from 1 species
UUCACAUUAUUCAUAAUUCUUUUUUUCUUUGAAUAUUUUUCUCAUUAUCUGGAAAACAGACCAGAAAAAUUAAUUUCCCUACUAUCCCAAUUAAUUGAAGCUACUGUAUUAUUUAAAAUUUUGAUCAGUAUGUUAGGAGUAUGAAAUUAGCAAAUUUCACCACUCCUUACAACCUACUAUUGCAUUGCAUAAUCAUUCAUAAAUAAUCAAAUCAUAUUGCAUUGGAUAUCUUUCUGAUAACCAGAAAUUUGUGGCACAGUGAUGGGGAUCACUUUGCACAUCUGCAAAACAUGUUUAUUGCAUUUAAUUUAUAUGAUCAAAGAUAUAUCAAAAUAUAAGUAAGUGACUUUUUUUCAAUUAAAUAUUGUAAUUGAAAACCUCUGCUAAUAUUUUACUAUUAUAAACAAUACUGUUUUAAGUGGUUUGUAACUGAAGAUGCUUACUUAUAGAGCUGAAAGUAUUUCUACUUUUUCAGUUGUUAAAAUUCUUGUGGAAUAUAAUAUCUGCAUUGGCACUGUGUUUUAUAUAUUACAGAGGGAUCGAUUUACUUUUUUCAUUAUUACAUAUUGUUAUUUAGAAUCUUUUGCUUUAUUGCCAUAUCUCCUUAAUGAAAUGAUUUAUAUAAAAACAAUUAUUUUAUUUAACAGUAAAAUGCCAUGCACCUAUUU